rnacentral:lncRNA from 1 species
CAUAUUAAAAAGAUAUUUACUGCAACUACCUUUGUAGUAUUAACUAUGAAGCACAUAGUAACCAAAUAUGUCACAAAUAAUAAAAUACGAAUCGUAGAUCUCUCCAUCUGAAUAAAGUCAACUCUACAAAUUCUAAAGAACGUCUAAAAGCACUAAUUUCCCGCUAUGCGCAGAUUGAGGAAAGGGUCGUAUGUCUAUUAUACACAACUAUAUUGUGCAUAUCUAAAGAAUGUCUCAAAUUGCAAAAUCAACUAUAAGUGACUAGUUGCACCAGUUGAUAAGGAUGCUCCAGAAACCAUGUCAGCUUGAUAAAAAUACUUCCUCUUUUCGAAUAGGAAUUGAUUCGAUCUUAUUAUUAGAAUAUUCAAAUUCAACUGAAUAUACUGUUUUCAAGAAGGAAUCACCAUCACCAGUGGAAGUUGAACCAGGCGAUCUCUUCCUCCUGAAGUACAGAAAAAUGAAGAAAAAGCAGUCAAUCACAGGGAAGGAAAUAGAGAAGGUAAGGAACCAAUUUCCUUGUUCAAGCCGGUAUUUAAUAAGUAGUAAGUAAGUGAGAAGUCGAUUCUUUUAUGUUGAGAAAAGAAAUCACUUGCUAAGAUGCUUUCAAUCUUACUUGUGCUCAUAUAUCAAAACCUAAUCCCUGUUCAAACUACCUCAUCUGUGAGUCCAAAGCCAAACAUGUAGUCUUCUUUUUGUGAUCGACCUGAACAAACGAUAAAAGAACACAUUUAGGACAAUAAUGAAAGUUAUACAGCCAAACUGUGAGAGAUUGAUUGUCUUCCAAGUAGUAAAAGCAAGAAGGAAAAGAAUAGAUAGAGGGGUGUGCCCCUUAUCUACCAAGUUUUUAUCCAUGCGCCUCUCAUAAAAAAGGUGGGACGAAAUCAAGAAGCUUUUCAUAUUUCGGCGUCAUUGAGGGAAGGAGAAAUGUCCUCAACCCAAAAUGAAAGUCAUUGGGAACAUGUAUUCUGUGAAGGAGCUACGACAAGAUAGAGAAGUCUAGAUGCAACCUACCUCGGCUGAUAAAAUGAAAUUAAGACCCACGUUCAAGCACUCUUCCAAGAAACCAGCAACACAUCCAUCUUCCUUCUGAGACAACACUGUAAUGAAUGCAAAAUAUUGAAACAAUAUGUUAAAUUCAUGAUAACCAUGGUUGAUUAGAAGUCCUAACGCUGUUGCAAUGAAGCCACAAAAGCAAGAUCAAUUAAUUGAGUUCUCAUAACUAUUGCAAAACGCAUAAUAGCAGCCCACAAAAACUUUCUAUAUGACUAUUGGGCACCAAAGGGUAUAGCCUAGUAGUCAAUGAAGUGGAUUAAGAACCAUGUGGUCUCGAAUCAAAUCCCAGUGAAGGCAAAAAAGCUAGUUGAUUUCUUUCCAUUUAUAUAGGCCUUGGUGGACAAAAUUACAGGUACCAGUGUUGGUGGGUGAUAGUAGGUACACCGUGGAAUUAGUAUAGGUGUGUGUUAGUUGGCCCGAACACCAUUGAAAUCCAAUACAAUAAAACAAAAGUUUUUAAUGUCAACAUUGAAAGUCAAGAGAAUUACUUUAGUUAUAUGCUAGUGCGAACUAGAUUCAUUUUAUAUCUUUAGGUUAAUAGCACAAAUUUCCCUAGUUCGGUCAUAAUUAGGGGUUGGCAUGGUAUGGUAGAUACCAAAACUGAAAUUUUUGACACCACAGUUCCGAUAAUAUGAUAUUUGGCAUGCGUAUUUAAAAAAUUUGGUAUUCGACAUUUAUAACAAGAAUACUCUGUGCAACUUUCUGAACAUAACUUGGUGCAACCAUUCCUGUACUAGCAACUUGCCCUGCAUCAACCUGCAUAUAAAUUAAUAGAUAUUUUUUCUGGGAGGGUUUACUCAGAAACAUGAAUGUUUUGAUGUUCCUGUAUAUUAAUAGCACUGAAAAUGAUAUUACUAGACUUAUACUCGCUCUAGACCAUAUUAAGUGAAUUGUUUAAGUAUGGCGCAACCCUUAAGAAAAAUAUUUAAGGACAUAAAAUUAAAGACCAUUUUCUACUAUUACCUUUUUGAUUAUUUUCAAACUAGUCUCCUAGAAAAUGUAAAGAAGUUAAGAAUCUCAUUAAAUGAAGAGUAAAUAUGGAAAAGAGUUCCAACAAUUUUCAUGAACUUUGAAUAAUUCACUUAAUAUGGACUAUACGGAGUAAUGUGACACAUAAGGGAACUUACCACUAUUCCUUUUUUAAGAAUAUCAGUAUGGUCACCAUUUUUUCUCAUAUUAAGAGUGCAAUGACAUUUGAUUUCUAAGAAAAAGAAGAAUGGCAAGAAAAACUCAAACCAAAAUUGAUGUACCUCCUCAUUAGGUUGUGUUGAAAGCUCAAACAAUGUUCUAAUUGCCAUCAACUUUAGCAAAUGCAUAGGCUGUCAUUUCUUUUGCAGGGAUAAAAGGAAAUUGUAUCACAGCGAUAGCGUAGCCGAAUAAACCAAACAAAAUAUCACUUCUUAUUUUUUGAGUGAAGCUCUGGUAUCAUGUCAAGGACAGAAGGAUUCUCCCUUACAACAUCUAUCAAAAAACCAGUUGUAGUUGCAUCAAAUGAGAAGCCCCUUCCAUCCAUUUCCUUCAUAAAAGAUGCCAUUUCACUAAUUUUGUUGCACCUGAGAAAUCCUUGCACAAUAACAUUAUAAGUGACAUUGUUUGGAGAACAACCGUUGUCUUCCAUUUUUCUUAGAAUAUAUUUAGCUUCAUCAAACAACCCUUCAAAACAAAAUCCAUUAAUCAUUAUAGUGUAUGUUCUCACAUCUGGGAGUAAUCCAAUGAAAGAAAGCUUCUUGAAAACAGCAUGUGCUUUGUUGAGUUUACCAUUUUUGCACAAUCCGUUAAUGACAACCCUAUAAAAUGCAAUAUUAGUAUAUUCUUUGUUUCUUUCUAACUUAUUAACGAGUGCCAUAGCUUCUUCAACAAGUCCGUACUUAUAAUAACCAUUGAGCAAAGUGACAUGAAUGUAUAUAUCAGGCUUGGUCCCUGCAGUUAGCAUCUCAGCGUAAAUUUGCUUUGCAUCACCAGUUCUUCCAACUUCAAAAAGACCUUGCAAGAUCGUAUUGUAGGUAAAAUUAUCGGGUUUUGAUCCCUUUUGGGAAAUUUCACAAAACAAUUGCAUGGCCUCAUCCACUUUCUUUUUCUUACAGUAUCCCUUUAUUAGUACGUUAUAGCUAAUAAUGUCGGUCUCAAUGCCCUUAUCUAUCAUGAUACUAAAAAUUCUCCUUGCUCUAUCUAGUUGACCACGCAAACAAUAUCCAUCCAUCAAUGCAUUGUAGGUGAUUGUAUUAGGCUCUACACCCUUUUCGACCAUGUGUUUCAUUACUUCCUCAGCAUCUUUGACUUUCCCUUCUUUGCAUAGUCCAUCUGUUAUUAUGUUUAAGGUAUGCACAUCUGGAUAAAUAUUAAGGUUCACCAUCUCAUAGAACAAACUCGUAACCUUUUCCCACUGACCAAACUUACACAAACCAUCAAUUAUUGAAUUAUAUGUGACUAUGUCUGGAGGAAUGUCUUUCUGCUUCAUCUCGUUCAGAAUAUUGAUAGCAGCAUCUAAGUUUCCAUCUUUGCAAAGAGCAUCUAUAACAAUGCUGUAGAUAUAUAUGGUGGGCUCAGUAUUACCUUGUUCCAUUAACCGGAGCAAACUUAAAGUCUUCUGAGUAUGACCCCUUUUGCUUAGCCCAUUCAUGACGAUUGCAUACAUGACUUCGUCAGGCUCACAAAUCUUGUCUCUCACCAACUUCUUGAACAAUUCAACUGCAUCUUUGACCUUAUUUUGAGCAAAGAUUCCUUUUAAUAGGGUGUUAAAGGUAACAGUAUUAAAUGGAAUGCCAUUCUUCAAGUAAAUGGGUAACACCGAAAAUGCACAAUCAACCCGAUACAUCAGGCAAUAACUAUUAAUCAUGAUAUUUAAGAUGAAAUCACUAAUUGGGAUGCCCAAUUUCAGCAUUUGUCGAAAAAGAGAAAGGGCACCAGAGUAAUGUUUCAUCUUUAUCAUAGUCUUAAACAAUUGAGAGAAAUGGACAACUGAAGGAAGAGGCUUCAUUGUAACCAUUUGAUGGAAGAGAGUAACAGCAUCAUCUAAAUUGCUACUAUUUACACCAAAUUUAUCCAUUACUGAAAUGGAUUUUUUACUGUAACGGCAUGAAGAAUAAGCUCUAAUUGUAAAUGCCGAACCAGAAAUGGAAGAGAUAAAGGGAAUACCAUUGCAAUUGCGCAGAGAAAUCCUCCUCAUCUUCUUCAAUGGCUGUAUCUCCGUGUGCCCUAAUUUUGCAAGAAACUAAUACAUUCAGCUUCUUUGGAUUUUUUUUUUGUUUGCCAUUCGCUCAUUCCCAUCCCUAAUAUUAGAGCACGACUAAAUUUAAAUUUACCUCGAAAAAUCUUAGCAACCAUCCAAAAAAAGGCAAGUGUCGUUACGCUGUUAAUUUAUUUUUUUUCAUUUUAUUUUUGAAUUAUUAUUUAAUAAUCUUAUUGUAUACUGUUAUUUUUUUUUAAAAAAAAUAUUGUGUACCCUAUGUUUAUUUAUAGUGUUAUAAAUUUAUUCUUUAUAUUAUUGAUGUGUGAUAUUAUGUAACAACAUAAUCGAUACAUUUCAUUCAAAUAUUAUAUUAACUAAAACAAUACAAUAUAUUAUGUAACAAUAUAUAAUAAUCAUCAAAACAAUCUGCAAUUAAUACACUAUGAAAGGUUGUUUGCUUGCUCGUUAAGAAGUAAGUUAUUUAUGUAUUAAAAUUAAUAUUAUAACUAAUAACAUGCUUAAGAUUAGUAUUUUAGUUGCUAUGCAUAAAAUUAAAUACGUUAAUUGAUUACCAUUUUACAAUCUCACAAAUUAUUAUAAAUGUAUAAACUAGGUGAGAUCUAUUUAGUCCCCCCUUGUCCCCCUAUUUACUUGUCAAUUUUUGACUUGACACACCUAUUAAGAAAAUAAUAAUUGACAUAAUGAGUUUACUAUUUUAUUCUUAUUAAUUGAUAGAAUUUCAAAAUCAAGUUACUCAUUAAAGGGGUUCUACCUUUUUCAAAAACAUUAACUCUCUAAAUAAAUUGAGCGUAUAAUAAAUUAAAAAAAAUAUUAUCUUUUCUUAAUUUGUCAAAAAUGACAAGUAGAAAGGGACAAAUAAAGAAUCAAAAUUGAACAAGUAAGAACGUUACAUAGGAGAAAAAUAAAAUGAAGUAUACUACAUGAAUAAUUAAGUCUUCAUCUAGGUGAAUAACUCUAACUAGCGAAAAAACAACCCCUUAAAGGGUAAUUUGUUAUGUAUAAAAUAACUCUUACUUAAAAUAUACAUUUUAAUUAUUUGGAUUUGAACAUGAGAUCUUAUGAUUCUCAAUCCACUUUAUCGAUCAAUUAUACCACCCCCUUGAUAAGUCAUAUUUUUGGAAAACACAACUUUUUUUUUGACCUAACAGAGAAGGCAUGAUUAUAGAUGUUGAAGGAUAUUCAGAAAAUGUGUCUUAUUUCAUGAAACAUGCAUUUAUCUCAGUUAGUUAGAACUCAACUUAAAAUUAAAUUCAAAUGAUUCUAAAGACUAACUUCAUAAACUAAACUUAGAAGGAAAUAUAUGUGUUACUCAAAUCUUAAAGUGUUUACAAGAUUGAAUAUUUCAUAGACAACUAAAAACAUACUCCCUCCGUCCCUAUUUACUUGUCCAUAUUUCCUUUUUUGGUUGUCCCUAUUUAGUUGUCCAUUUUGACAAAUCAAGAAAGGACAACAAAUUUUUUCCUAUUAUACCCUUAUUUACACUUCUUGAAAAUUGUAAAAGUGUAUGUUGUUUCCCUCCAAUUUAUUUCACUUGAAUUCAAAUAAGUGGUUGUAAUUUUGAAGUGAAAAGUUGUCAUAGGGUAAAAUUGUAACUUCACUGUGCUAAUCAUUGUUGCCUUAAUCUGUGUGCCAUUUCUAAAAUGGACAACUAAAAAGGGAUGGAGAGAGUAUCUGAUAGUCAAAGAUGCGUAGUACAUGUGUUGUUGGUGGGAGGUAGCAUGUACUUGCUGAAUAGUUGAAGGUACACACAAGUGGGUCAGAACAGUACCGUCAUUAAAAAAAAAUUAAUGACAACUAUGAUAAAGCUAACACAUGGAGAUAUGAUCAUGUAACAAUUUCAACAUUACAUUUGCGUCCACGCAACCAAAGUUCUCAUAACAGAAGCAACAUUAUUACACCCCAGACUAAUAAGUGCAUUAGAAAGAUUAGUUACCAUACCUAAAGAAUUGGUAAGUGUGCAUUUAAGUACAACAACAAAACAAAUAAGUCUCAAUCCCAAAUCCCUGGAUUUUCACUAAUCACAUCAUACAAUAAAAGCACAUGGAUAAUGUAAAACCCAAAAUCUUGGGUUGUAAAACAUAAACUUUAUAUUUAUUGAUAACCGUGGUGUCUAGGCCAACUACAAGUGACUAGUUGCACCAGUUGAUAAGGAUGCUCCAGAAACAAUGUCAGCUUGAUAAAUAUACUUCCUCUUUUCGAAUAGGAAUUGAUUUGAUCUUAUUAUUAGAAUAUUCAGAUUCAAUAGAAAAUACUGUUUUCAAGAAGGAAUCACCAUCACCAGUGGAAGUUGAACCUGGCGAUCUCUAUCUCCUCAAGUAUGGAAAAAGGAAGAAAAAGCAGCCAAACACAGGGAAGGAAAUAGAGAAGGUAAGGGACCACUUUCCUUGUUCAAGCUGGUAUUUAAUGAGUAAGUAGUAAGUAAGUGAGAAGUCGAUUCUUUUAUCGUUGAGAAAACAGAUCACUUGCUAAGAUGCUUUCAAUUUUACUUGUGCUUAUAUAUCAAAACCUAAUCCCUGUUCAAACUACCUCAUCUGUUCUCUAACUGUGAGUCCAAAGCCAAACUUGUAGUCUUCUUUUUUGAUUGACCUGAACAAGCGAUAAAGAACACAUUUAGGACAAUAAUGAAAGUUAUACAGCCAAACUGUGAGAGAUUGAUUGUAUUCGAAUUAGUAAAAGCAAGAAGGAAAAUAAUAGAUAGAGGGGUGUGCCCCUUAUCUACCAAGUUUUUAUCCAUGCGCCUCUCAGAAAAAAGGUGGGAGGAAAUCAAGAAGCUUUUCAUAUUUCGGCAUCAUUGAGGGACGGAGUAACAUCCUCAACCCAAAAUUAAAGUCAUUGGGAACAUGUAUUCUGUGAAGGAGCCACGACAAGAUAGAGAAGUCAAGAUGCAACCUACCUUGGCUGAUAAAAUGAAAUUAAGACCCACGUUCAAGCGCUCUUCCAAGAAACCAGCAACACAUCCAUCUUCCUUCUGAGACAACAUUGUAAUGAAUGCAUCAUAUUGAAACACUAUGUUAAAUUCAUG